rnacentral:misc_RNA from 1 species
AUGGGCAAGGGAACAGUUGAUGGCCAGAGAACCACCGCGAAUCACCCAUGAACACCCAGAGUAUGAUGAAGUUGUGGAGGAGGUGGCGGCGGAGCAGCCACCGCCACCGCCAGUAGUGAAGUCAUUCUUCUUCGGGCCGAGAGAGUUCGCCGCUAUGCGGCAGAAACUCCCGAAGCAUGUCCAGGCAAAGACAACACGGUUCGAGCUCUUGACGGCGUGUUUGUGGCUCUGUCGGGUGGUGGCGUUUGGCGGUGCAGCCGGAGACGAAGUUCGUGCUCGGUUCAUCCUCAAUGGGCGGAACAAGUGCAGCCCCCCGCUGCCGGAGGGAUUCUACGGGAAUGCGAUUGUAUACCCAGUGGCACGGACGACUGCCGGGGAGCUGACGGGGCGUGGACUAGCCUAUGCGGUGGAGCUGGUGAGG